rnacentral:rRNA from 1 species
UGCAAGUCGAACGAACUCUGGUAUUGAUUGGUGCUUGCAUCAUGAUUUACAUUUGAGUGAGUGGCGAACUGGUGAGUAACACGUGGGAAACCUGCCCAGAAGCGGGGGAUAACACCUGGAAACAGAUGCUAAUACCGCAUAACAACUUGGACCGCAUGGUCCGAGUUUGAAAGAUGGCUUCGGCUAUCACUUUUGGAUGGUCCCGCGGCGUAUUAGCUAGAUGGUGGGGUAACGGCUCACCAUGGCAAUGAUACGUAGCCGACCUGAGAGGGUAAUCGGCCACAUUGGGACUGAGACACGGCCCAAACUCCUACGGGAGGCAGCAGUAGGGAAUCUUCCACAAUGGACGAAAGUCUGAUGGAGCAACGCCGCGUGAGUGAAGAAGGGUUUCGGCUCGUAAAACUCUGUUGUUAAAGAAGAACAUAUCUGAGAGUAACUGUUCAGGUAUUGACGGUAUUUAACCAGAAAGCCACGGCUAACUACGUGCCAGCAGCCGCGGUAAUACGUAGGUGGCAAGCGUUGUCCGGAUUUAUUGGGCGUAAAGCGAGCGCAGGCGGUUUUUUAAGUCUGAUGUGAAAGCCUUCGGCUCAACCGAAGAAGUGCAUCGGAAACUGGGAAACUUGAGUGCAGAAGAGGACAGUGGAACUCCAUGUGUAGCGGUGAAAUGCGUAGAUAUAUGGAAGAACACCAGUGGCGAAGGCGGCUGUCUGGUCUGUAACUGACGCUGAGGCUCGAAAGUAUGGGUAGCAAACAGGAUUAGAUACCCUGGUAGUCCAUACCGUAAACGAUGAAUGCUAAGUGUUGGAGGGUUUCCGCCCUUCAGUGCUGCAGCUAACGCAUUAAGCAUUCCGCCUGGGGAGUACGGGCCGCAAGGCUGAAACUCAAAGGAAUUGACGGGGGCCCGCACAAGCGGUGGAGCAUGUGGUUUAAUUCGAAGCUACGCGAAGAACCUUACCAGGUCUUGACAUACUAUGCAAAUCUAAGAGAUUAGACGUUCCCUUCGGGGACAUGGAUACAGGUGGUGCAUGGUUGUCGUCAGCUCGUGUCGUGAGAUGUUGGGUUAAGUCCCGCAACGAGCGCAACCCUUAUUAUCAGUUGCCAGCAUUAAGUUGGGCACUCUGGUGAGACUGCCGGUGACAAACCGGAGGAAGGUGGGGAUGACGUCAAAUCAUCAUGCCCCUUAUGACCUGGGCUACACACGUGCUACAAUGGAUGGUACAACGAGUUGCGAACUCGCGAGAGUAAGCUAAUCUCUUAAAGCCAUUCUCAGUUCGGAUUGUAGGCUGCAACUCGCCUACAUGAAGUCGGAAUCGCUAGUAAUCGCGGAUCAGCAUGCCGCGGUGAAUACGUUCCCGGGCCUUGUACACACCGCCCGUCACACCAUGAGAGUUUGUAACACCCAAAGUCGGUGGGGUAACCUUUUAGGAACCAGCC